GAUGAACGCUGGCGGCGUGCCUAAUACUUGCAAGUCGAGCGAACGGACGAGAAGCUUGCUUCUCUGAUGUUAGCGGCGGACGGGGGAGUAACACGUGGAUAACCUACCUAUAAGACUGGGAUAACUUCGGGAAACCGGAGCUAAUACCGGAUAAUAUUUUGAACCGCAUGGUUCAAAAGUGAAAGACGGUCUUGCUGUCACUUAUAGAUGGAUCCGCGCUGCAUUAGCUAGUUGGUAAGGUAACGGCUUACCAAGGCAACGAUGCAUAGCCGACCUGAGAGGGUGAUCGGCCACACUGGAACUGAGACACGGUCCAGACUCCUACGGGAGGCAGCAGUAGGGAAUCUUCCGCAAUGGGCGAAAGCCUGACGGAGCAACGCCGCGUGAGUGAUGAAGGUCUUCGGAUCGUAAAACUCUGUUAUUAGGGAAGAACAUAUGUGUAAGUAACUGUGCACAUCUUGACGGUACCUAAUCAGAAAGCCACGGCUAACUACGUG
rnacentral:rRNA from 1 species